UUCCUGGUACAUGAUCAGGUCCUUCCUAGUGCAUCAUACAGAAUAUAUACAGAGAUUCAUAUGCAGAGAUUCUCUUCUUGGUUUCAAUCCAACACGUGGAACUACUGGGAGCCAGUUUCUGGCUAUGAGUUAUUAAGUUGGUAUAUUGAUGUGAUUUUUAAAAAUAUUUUUUCUAACUGAUUACAGAGUUGGAAAAAUUGAUAGUUUGAAAAGUGUUGGAUUUGAAUUGAGUUCACAUAAAAAAUUAUGAAACUGACCUCUCUGGACAGUGAAUGAUGAUACUAGGAAGGGUAGCUGUGCCUUUGUCCAUCUAGGCACUAUUUUCCCAUGGUCACAUGAUGACUCUGUUUUUUUGGUGAUUUGUUUAUUCUUUUCUAAUAUUAGAUUAAAAACCAUACUUAAAUGGAAUUGCAUAGCAGUGACUUUAGAAUUUGGGACAUCCAUCAAAGUCAUUACAAGUUCAACUGAGAAGCUCAGAGCCCUAAGAAAAAUAGUAAUCAAAUACCCUUUGGAUAUUCAACCUAUAAUGUGGCUGGGAGAAGGCAGAGGGAGCUUCAAGAAAGCAGCCUCUUGAGAAGACUUCUUCUAAUGUACUGUAAUCUCCAUCUUGGAAAGCCAUGAUUUCAUCUUUAUCUUCCUGCCAUGAGAUGGUAACCGGAAGAGGUCUCUUCCUUCAAAAGGUCUGAAAUUCAUGACCUCAACUGAAUUUUUCCAGAUGACCACUGUCAAGAGGAGAAAUCCAAUCUUUUGCUUGACUUGAUAAAAGACAUUUACCCUAAAUGAGUUGUUCUUAUAAUAUAAUUCUGCUGCAAAAGUGUCUGCUCACUUAAAAAUAAAUUCUUAUUUGUGAUUUC
rnacentral:lncRNA from 1 species